rnacentral:rRNA from 1 species
UACGAGGGGGGCAAGUGUUGUUCGGAAUUACUGGGCGUAAAGGGAGCGUAGGCGGGAUGGCAAGUCGGUCGUGAAAUCCUUCGGCUCAACCGAAGAACGUCGAUCGAUACUGCUGUUCUUGAGGGUUGCAGAGGAGACUGGAAUUCCCGGUGUAGCGGUGAAAUGUGUAGAGAUCGGGAGGAACACCGGUGGCGAAGGCGGGUCUCUGGGCAAUUCCUGACGCUGAGGCGCGAAAGCGUGGGGAGCAAACGGG